rnacentral:rRNA from 1 species
AGGACGAACGCUGGCGGCGUGCUUAACACAUGCAAGUCGAGCGGAAAGGCCCUUCGGGGUACUCGAGCGGCGAACGGGUGAGUAACACGUGAGCAACCUGCCCCUGGCUCUGGGAUAGCCUCCGGAAACGGGGAUUAAUACCGGACAUGACCUGCUGCCGCAUGGUGGCGGGUGGAAGUUUUCGGCCAGGGUGGGGCUCGCGGCCUAUCAGCUUGUUGGGGGGGUGACGGCCCACCAAGGCGACGACGGGUAGCCGGCCUGAGAGGGCGACCGGCCACACUGGGACUGAGACACGGCCCAGACUCCUACGGGAGGCAGCAGUGGGGAAUAUUGCGCAAUGGGCGGAAGCCUGACGCAGCGACGCCGCGUGCGGGAUGAAGGCCUUCGGGUUGUAAACCGCUUUCACCAGGGGCGAAGCGAGAGUGACGGUACCGUGGGGAAGAAGCGCCGGCUAACUACGCGCCAGCAGCCGC